UGGGGAAUUUUGGACAAUGGGGGCAACCCUGAUCCAGCCAUCCCGCGUGUGCGAUGAAGGCCUUCGGGUUGUAAAGCACUUUUGGCAGGGAAGAAACAGCCUGGGAUAAUACCCCGGGCGACUGACGGUACCUGCAGAAUAAGCACCGGCUAACUACGUGCCAGCAGCCGCGGUAAUACGUAGGGUGCAAGCGUUAAUCGGAAUUACUGGGCGUAAAGCGUGCGCAGGCGGUUCGGAAAGAAAGGUGUGAAAUCCCAGGGCUUAACCUUGGAACUGCACUUUUAACUACCGAGCUAGAGUACGUCAGAGGGGGGUAGAAUUCCACGUGUAGCAGUGAAAUGCGUAGAGAUGUGGAGGAAUACCGAUGGCGAAGGCAGCCCCCUGGGAUGAUACUGACGCUCAUGCACGAAAGCGUGGGGAGCAAACAGGAUUAGAUACCCUGGUAGUCCACGCCCUAAACGAUGUCAACUAGCUGUUGGGGUUUAUUAACUUAGUAGCGCAGCUAACGCGUGAAGUUGACCGCCUGGGGAGUACGGUCGC
rnacentral:rRNA from 1 species